rnacentral:rRNA from 1 species
CCUACGGGGGGCUGCAGUGAGGAAUAUUGGUCAAUGGGCGAGAGCCUGAACCAGCCAAGUCGCGUGAAGGAAGACGGAUCUAUGGUUUGUAAACUUCUUUUAUAGGGGAAUAAAGUUCGGCACGUGUGUCGAUUUGCAUGUACCCUAUUGAAUAAGCAUCGGCUAACUCCGUGCCAGCAGCCGCGGUAAUACGGAGGAUGCGAGCGUUAUCCGGAUUUAUUGGGUUUAAAGGGUGCGUAGGUUGUGGAUUAAGUCAGCGGUGAAAGUUUGUCGCUUAACGAUAAAAUUGCCGUUGAAACUGGUUUACUUGAGUGUAAUAGAAGUAGGCGGAAUGCGUGGUGUAGCGGUGAAAUGCAUAGAUAUCACGCAGAACUCCGAUAGCGAAGGCAGCUUACUAAGUUAUAACAGACACUGAAGCACGAAAGCGUGGGUAUCAAACAGGAUUAGAUACCCCUGUAGUC